rnacentral:rRNA from 1 species
GGUUAGUCCGCAACGAGCGCAACCCCUAUUGUUAGUUGCCAUCAUUCAGUUGGGCACUCUAGCGAGACUGCCGGUAAUAAACCGGAGGAAGGUGGGGAUGAUGUCAAAUCAUCAUGCCCCUUAUGACCUGGGCUACACACGUGCUACAAUGGUUGGUACAACGAGUUGCGAGUCGGUGACGGCGAGCUAAUCUCUUAAAGCCAAUCUCAGUUCGGAUUGUAGGCUGCAACUCGCCUACAUGAAGUCGGAAUCGCUAGUAAUCGCGGAUCAGCACGCCCGCGGUCCGAAUACGUUCCGGCCUU